CAACAGUGCACAUGUUCCUUGGACUGCAGUCUCCUUGAACGAUAGGACCAGGGUAUCCCAACUGUGAAGCUAAUGGUCUGUAUUGGCAAAAAGAGGCCCAUCUGUGUCUCAAAAACACACCAGUUUGUUGGCCAUGUGGCAGCUGAGAUUUCGGCAAAUUACCUUCCUUGCUCCUACAUUAUCUAAAAGAAGCCUGAAUUGUCUUUGAUGGGCAAUUUUAACACGUGGGAAAGUGGAGACUCUUCCUGAGAGCUCUUUGUUUCGAAGAAGUAGGCUCCACAGCCAGAAGACCAUUUCAGAUCAUCUUUCUCAGGGAGAUACUAACAUUACACUUACGAUGGGGCAUCGUUAGAAGAUCGUAAGUGAAGGAAAUCCACUAAUUCCUCCAAAGGAAGACAUAUGCUCACUACACAAGUCCUCCCUUGCAACUCAAAUCAAGUGCAUUUUAACGCGACAGCUUCGGUUGCUGCGUGUAAAUGCAGCUGAGAGUUUGAAGUCUUCCCCUAUAACGAAGCUGUUAUCAAUCUGAGUACCCACACACGCUCCUGGCAAAAUGCUGGAGGGCUACCUGGGCAGCAGGAGGUGCUGCCAUGGCCGCACCGGGCACCCCACUUCAGCCCUGCAGAGCAUAGAAUCUACUUGUAUCCUAACACUAAAAUGUUCUGGAAGUCAAGUCUGAAGUCAGUUUCACUGAGUGGAAGGCCCGGUGUUUAAUAAAUAAAACAUAAAAAAUGUUAAAAAACAAAA